rnacentral:rRNA from 1 species
AAUACGUAGGGUGCGAGCGUUGUCCGGAAUUAUUGGGCGUAAAGAGCUCGUAGGCGGUUUGUUGCGUCUAUCGUGAAAACCUGCGGCUUAACUGUGGGCUUGCGGUGGAUACGGGCAGACUUGAGUUCGGUAGGGGAGACUGGAAUUCCUGGUGUAGCGGUGAAAUGCGCAGAUAUCAGGAGGAACACCGGUGGCGAAGGCGGGUCUCUGGGCCGAUACUGACGCUGAGGAGCGAAAGCGUGGGGAGCGAACAG